UAACUGGGGAGAGGGGGUUAAAUACGUCUAACUACUAUAAUUAUACUCAGCUGGACAUUUUUUAGAUUUUGAAGAAUUCCAGAAAUUUUUUAGAACUUAACCAUUUCACGUUUGACGUUUUCAACUUUCAUGGAAGAAUCGCACGAUUGGCUUUUCGAUGACGAACGAAUUAUGGGUCGUUAUAACUGUGUUCAUUCAUUAUGACGUGUU